GAUGAACGCUAGCUACAGGCUUAACACAUGCAAGUCGAGGGGAAACGACAUCGAAAGCUUGCUUUUGAUGGGCGUCGACCGGCGCACGGGUGAGUAACGCGUAUCCAACCUGCCCACCACUUGGGGAUAACCUUGCGAAAGUAAGACUAAUACCCAAUGAUAUCUCUAGAAGACAUCUGAAAGAGAUUAAAGAUUUAUCGGUGAUGGAUGGGGAUGCGUCUGAUUAGCUUGUUGGCGGGGUAACGGCCCACCAAGGCUACGAUCAGUAGGGGUUCUGAGAGGAAGGUCCCCCACAUUGGAACUGAGACACGGUCCAAACUCCUACGGGAGGCAGCAGUGAGGAAUAUUGGUCAAUGGACGGGAGUCUGAACCAGCCAAGUAGCGUGCAGGAUGACGGCCCUAUGGGUUGUAAACUGCUUUUAUAAGGGAAUAAAGUGAGCCUCGUGAGGCUUUUUGCAUGUACCUUAUGAAUAAGGACCGGCUAAUUCCGUGCCAGCAGCCGCCGUAA
rnacentral:rRNA from 1 species